CAGUAGCCGCGGUAAUACGUAGGGUGCAAGCGUUAAUCGGAAUUACUGGGCGUAAAGCGUGCGCAGGCGGUUUGUUAAGACAGAUGUGAAAUCCCCGGGCUCAACCUGGGAACUGCAUUUGUGACUGGCAAGCUAGAGUGUGGCAGAGGGGGGUGGAAUUCCGCGUGUAGCAGUGAAAUGCGUAGAUAUGCGGAGGAACACCGAUGGCGAAGGCAGCCCCCUGGGCCAACACUGACGCUCAUGCACGAAAGCGUGGGGAGCAAACAGGAUUAGAUACCCCUGUAGUCCCUGUCUCUUAUAC
rnacentral:rRNA from 1 species